UACGGGGGGGGCAAGCGUUGUCCGGUAUUAUUGGGCGUAAAGGGCUCGUAGGCGGUUUGUCGCGUCGGGAGUGAAAACUCAGGGCUUAACCCUGAGCCUGCUUCCGAUACGGGCAGACUAGAGGUAUGCAGGGGAGAACGGAAUUCCUGGUGUAGCGGUGAAAUGCGCAGAUAUCAGGAGGAACACCGGUGGCGAAGGCGGUUCUCUGGGCAUUACCUGACGCUGAGGAGCGAAAGUGCGGGGAGCGAACAGG
rnacentral:rRNA from 1 species